UGAUAGCUAUGAUCCGCAAGGUUGCUGUCGAACACAGGACAGGUAAUUUGCGGGGAGCGAAUGUCUAGUGAGAAGCUGGCGACAA
rnacentral:ncRNA from 1 species